rnacentral:rRNA from 1 species
AUUGAACGCUGGCGGCAGGCCUAACACAUGCAAGUCGAGCGGAUGAAGGGAGCUUGCUCCUGGAUUCAGCGGCGGACGGGUGAGUAAUGCCUAGGAAUCUGCCUGGUAGUGGGGGAUAACGUCCGGAAACGGGCGCUAAUACCGCAUACGUCCUGAGGGAGAAAGUGGGGGAUCUUCGGACCUCACGCUAUCAGAUGAGCCUAGGUCGGAUUAGCUAGUUGGUGGGGUAAAGGCCUACCAAGGCGACGAUCCGUAACUGGUCUGAGAGGAUGAUCAGUCACACUGGAUCUGAGACACGGUCCAGACUCCUACGGGAGGCAGCAGUGGGGAAUAUUGGACAAUGGGCGAAAGCCUGAUCCAGCCAUGCCGCGUGUGUGAAGAAGGUCUUCGGAUUGUAAAGCACUUUAAGUUGGGAGGAAGGGCAGUAAGUUAAUACCUUGCUGUUUUGACGUGACCAACAGAAUAAGCACCGGCUAACUUCGU